UGGUGGCGGAAUGGUAGACGCGCUGGACUCAAAAUCCAGUAUCCCUUAAAGAUGUGCGGGUUCGAGUCCCGCCCGGG
rnacentral:tRNA from 1 species